UAGUAAUCGCGAAUCAGAAUGUCGCGGUGAAUGCGUUCCCGGGUCUUGUACACACCGCCCGUCACACCAUGGAAGUUGGGGGUGCCCAAAGCCGGCAAGCAAAUAUGCUGUCUAAGGCAAAACCAAUGACUGGGGUGAAGUCGUAACAAGGUACC
rnacentral:rRNA from 1 species